CAAUAUUAAGGUUUUACUCUAUUCUGAUUUCCAUCAAAUCAAUUUUUGCAUUUCAAGGAAAAUCAAAUAGAGAUAACCUAAACACCCAUCAUCGGACUGCUCCCAGCCACCAGCCAGCGUUUCCGGCCGGGAGUCUGACGUGACCUCCAUCUAUUCCGACGAAGCUUUCGACGAUGCUCCGACUCCAUCCUGCAGCCACCGCAAUCGCUUCCGAUUCCGACGCAGGCAGCCUCAAACGCGGCCAUGAGAUUCUUCAUAACAUGUUUCUGUUGCACAAGUCGUAGCGGCUAUGAGAUUCUUCAUAAUCUCUUUAUGUUUCAACACCUAAUUGGAAGCGUUUGUGGAGCAGUUUUGGUGAUGACCCCGACGUUAAACAAGGCAAACCAUCACCGGAUGUGUUUCUUGUUGCGGCGAAGAGAUUUGAGAGGAAUAACAAAGUGUUUCGAAGCGAGGAAAUACAAAUGGAGAAACUGUUUGAAGAGUCGAAGAUUAUGGCGUGGAGAUGGCUCAAACUUAAAUCAAAUUAUAUUGCAGAUGAUAUAGCCGCGUGGUGCAAAAAUCCUAAGGCGUGUAUUGGCAUAAUUGACGGAUGAGUAAUCUGGUGCGUACAGAGCUGGAGUGGUCCCCGUCAUCGGGCGUCGAAUUCUGAUUUGCAGCCGUACGUCUUUCUUAAAUAGACUGAAUUCUGUCAAGAUAGAUUUUUUCAGCAGACUAAAUUCUGUCAAGAUAGAUUUUUUCAGCAGACUGAAUUCUGUCAAGACAGCUCUUGGCGCAUGGUAGUGGUAACCGACAUAACGCAUUGCUUGGCUCCAGUUGGCGAGGUAGUUCCUGGUUAUGUCUAUUCGAGUGGUUGAGGUGUUCUUAUGUUUUUGUUCUGUACAUUUGGUGGUGAAGCUAUUUCUAUUGUCUGCUGUUUUUAUGUUGUGGAGCGCAGUGGCUGUGCAUAGGGUGCUGUUGUGUGUUAUAUGUCCAGGAGUUAAUAUGUUAUUCGAGGUUAUUGUUAUCGUAGUAUCGGUGUCGGGUAGUUAUAGGUUAAUUUUGUUUCAUGUAUCUCCUUCAAUAUUCAGUCUGUGGGUGGAUAUUGCUGUUAGCAUCAGUUUUAGUUUCAGGUUGAUGGGCAUAGUCUUGUAAAAUCUGGUAUAGGAGAGUGGGAUUCAUACUGUCAUGAACAUUUGUGCUAGGGCCAUUGCUUGUAAUUGGCAUCUCUUAUGCCUCUGUCUUUUUAAUAUAUUGCUUUUGCUCUUUCAAAAAAAAAAUCAUAUAUGCAAUGGUUUUCAGUUAACUAUACAUUGAUGAUCAACAGGGUGGACCAGUAGAUCCAAGUAACAUACUUGUUUUUGAAGAUGCACCCUCUGGAUUUCUUGCAGCUAAGAAUGCUGGGAUGUAUGUGACUUGAAGCAGCUUGUUUUAUUUUUUACGUGUUCACUAGGCUCUAACCGUUCUCUUUCCCUCUCGCGUAUAAUAAUAUCUGUCACCUACAGUAUGAGACAUGAAGAAUUCUGAAAUAUGAAUAUUAGAACAUUUUUCUGCUUCUUUUAGAACAGUUGUUUUAUGGUUGUGGAGCUAAGGACUGCACAAAAGCUUUUUCAUGCUGCUGAAUUUGUGUACAAACAUCUGAAGCUGAAACACCCAUCGCUUGCUGUUGAACAAACUUCAAAAUUGCGCAACGAUCUCUAUACUCAAAAUUUCAUGAAAUCCAUAUGCUUCUGGUGGAAAGCCUGUUAUGCUGCAAUCUCAAGUGAACUACUAUACCCAUUGCUUGCCGUAAGUAUGAGAACAAUUUGUUGUUAGAAACUCACCCAUCUCAUAUGAUAGAGUCGAUGUUGGCCAUGGAUAACAUGAACUAACCAAUGUUUACAUUUCAGAUGCAAUUUUGUAUUACAUUUAUCAAACAUAUGAUUUGCAGGAUGUGGUAGAUGUUAUAUAAAAUAUAUCCAAGGAAAAUCAUCGUAAAACGAUUAGCAUACUUUCUAUGUCCGGUUGUGUAUCAAACAUUGUUGAUCUUACUCCGAACAAUCCCAAACACUGCAAGGGCAAAUUUGAGAUGCAUUUUAUGUCUAUAAAAUGUCUCUCUGAUGAUGAUGGUCGUCAAUGUCGUGAAAAGGCAACGUGUAUCGUUACAUGCUGAGAUGAAAAGGAAAUUCUAUUAGCAAAUACUUCUGUCAUAGUGGCUGGCUAUGUUAAAAUUAACUGCAACCUUAUUCAACACAGACACCGAUAUUAACAGGUGCAAGAAUUUCAGCAUUUGCUGCUGUUGCGACUCGAAAUGAUGACAAAAGUCCCAUAGAAGCCAUCCUUCUUAAACUUAAUCAGUGGGAGAUGGGAACAUAGUAAAAUCCCACAUCAGCAACUAGUCUAGUGCUUCAAAUGCGCAGGACUUGAAGUCUCCUUCUGUAGUUGACAAUUGUUUGGUCAUGAAGUCUCCUUCUGCUGGGGACAUUUGAAAUUAAGUUUCUAAUCUUCUAUAAAACUGAAAAGUUCUUGUUUAAUUCUGGUGACGAGAUUGUGUGUACACUCGGGAAAUGAUAUUCCAUAAACAUUAUUGUUUCCUCUUCUUUUCAGUUGAGUUUUUUAAGAAUGGAUGAUUAGAAAUUUAAUUGUCAUGCCAUGAUACUCUUUCCUGUCAUUUGUAGAUAAAUUUAUUGUCUUAAAAAUCUCUCUCCUGUCAUUUUUAUAAGCAUUUUAAGUUAUAAUGUCUUGCAUCCAUAGCAUAUAUCAAUGACUUAAACUCUUCUAGGAACUUUGUAUUCUUGACAUUCUCAAUAGCAUUUUGGUGUAAAUGCCAUAAACAGAGGCGAUGUGACGCAUUUGGAAAUUCAUCUUUAAUAGCUUCCCGCAUUGCACCAUCUCCGUCAGUAACAAAUACAUUUGGACAUUUAUGGAACAUUGCUUCAAAAAAGGCAUUUAAAACCCACUUAUAUGUCUCUGUCUUUUCGUCUGAAAUUAAAGCACACCCAAAAAUUGUAGUUUCACCGUGAUGAUUGUACCCACAAAAAAUAACAAAGGGUUUGUUGUACCUGUUCUUUUUGUAGGUCGUGUCAAAUGCAACCACAUCACCAAAACAUUCAAAGUCAAAUCGGCUAGUUCCAUCUGACCAAAAUAAAUUUUGUAGACGACCAUCCUCUGUUGUGGUAAACUUCGAAAAAAACAUCGGAUCAUUGUCGGCUUUAGCCUGUAAAUAAGACAAUGCAGCAAAAGCAUCUCCAUUUUCUCUUUUAGUCUUGGCUCCAUUACUAAAAUAAUUAUAUAAGUCCUUCUUGAUAAAUCCCAAAUCUUCAUGACCACCUUUCUGACCCAACAUAAAACCCAAAAUAUGACAUGUUCUAACACCACAUGUAUGCAAGCCAUCAACAAGCGCUUUAUCAGCUUCACUCAGUCGACGAUACUUAGGAAUAAAAUGAACAAACCGCUGUGGAGUUAACUUAUGAUUAUGAGCGGAUUCAAAUGCAACAACUCUCCAACUUUUAGUCACUACAUCAUAUGCCACACGCAACCAAGCAAGACAACCUGUUCGAGUGAUUGGCCUUGGCCCCCUAUGUCGAUCCACCCUUAACAUAUGUUUCUUAUGUCUUUUCCCCUCUCUAUUACAAACUAAUUGGCGCAUAAUAAUAUUUUUUUUGAAAUCACGGUCAAUCUCAUCUCUUCUUACAGCAAACCCAUGAUAUUCUGCAUAUGUUUCAUAAAACUCACAAGCUUUUUUCUCUGCUUCAAAUUUCAUAUCUCUUAUAUCAUCAUCUGAGAUUUCACCUAUAUCUUUGUAAUCAUCCAAAUCCUCUUUUCCUUCUUCAUUAUCCACAUAACUACCAUUGUUCCUCCCGACAUCAUUAGCAUCUUCACCAUUCUCCAUGCUUGCUACACAAUUUAUAAUCUUUAUGAAUUGAAUGUCUACUUUACAAUCGUUACUCCUACCGCAUUUAUUGUCUGCACCACAUGAAAAAGUAACAACCUUAAGUGUUGGUACGCCAAAAGAAAUCACGAAACCAAAACAAACAAAAAGCAAAGUGCAUAGAAUAUAAAAACAGAUGAGUAGCAGGUGUGAAGAAAAAAUGAUAAAUGAAUCAUUUGUUUUCAAGUUCUGACCUUGAUAAUUCCUUGCUUUCUUAUAGUGUUUUAAUGCAAGAUCACAAAGGAAUGAAUAUAAAGUAACACUAACAAACCUAUCACCAAACCAACAACAAUGCAAUACAUAUAUGAGACAACCAUGGAUAUUUGGGAUUUCGUUUUUUAAGAUUUGAUUCAGUUUAAGAUUUAAUCCCUUUUAAAAAGAUAUGGUUUGAGAUUGAUCACAUGACUCGUUUAUUUUUAAGAUUUCGUCGCUUGCUCUUUUUUGUGCUAAACAGUCUAAGUUACAACAUGCUGUAUACGUGGAGGAUUAUGAAGAAGCUUCUAGGCUUCAAGUGGCGAUUGCAGCUGCAUCCAACAAUGACAGUGUUGGAAAGUGAUAUCUCUUCUCAAAAGAGCCAUGCGAGAAGAGCGGUACAGUGAUGCAGCUUUAUUGGUUUAAUGCCAUAAUACUACAUAUUGUACUCAAAAUUUAAUAUUUAUCAGAAUACUACAUAUUUCACAUGGAUUUAUUCUUGCCAUCCAAAUUCGACUGAGUGAACUCAGUUAUAACCGAAAAAUAACAACCCAUCCACCCGACAACUCAAAUCGACGCGUACGCAUGCCUACAAUUGCACUCGGUUUUGACGGUUUUGGAUGGGCUCGGUUCCUUUGUCCAGCCCUAUCUAGUUACACCUAACACUAACACAUAUUCGAACAUUAAUUUCAUAACUGAG